AUACAUGCAAGUCGAGCGGACAGAUGGGAGCUUGCUCCCUGAUGUUAGCGGCGGACGGGUGAGUAACACGUGGGUAACCUGCCUGUAAGACUGGGAUAACUCCGGGAAACCGGGGCUAAUACCGGAUGGUUGUUUGAACCGCAUGGUUCAGACAUAAAAGGUGGCUUCGGCUACCACUUACAGAUGGACCCGCGGCGCAUUAGCUAGUUGGUGAGGUAACGGCUCACCAAGGCGACGAUGCGUAGCCGACCUGAGAGGGUGAUCGGCCACACUGGGACUGAGACACGGCCCAGACUCCUACGGGAGGCAGCAGUAGGGAAUCUUCCGCAAUGGACGAAAGUCUGACGGAGCAACGCCGCGUGAGUGAUGAAGGUUUUCGGAUCGUAAAGCUCUGUUGUUAGGGAAGAACAAGUGCCGUUCAAAUAGGGCGGCACCUUGACGGUACCUAACCAGAAAGCCACGGCUAACUACGUGCCAGCAGCCGCGGUAAUACGUAGGUGGCAAGCGUUGUCCGGAAUUAUUGGGCGUAAAGGGCUCGCAGGCGGUUUCUUAAGUCUGAUGUGAAAGCCCCCGGCUCAACCGGGGAGGGUCAUUGGAAACUGGGGAACUUGAGUGCAGAAGAGGAGAGUGGAAUUCCACGUGUAGCGGUGAAAUGCGUAGAGAUGUGGAAGAACACCAGUGGCGAAAGCGACUCUCUGGUCGGUAACGGACGCUGAGGAACGAAAACCGUGGGGAGCGAACAUGGUUAACAUACCCUGGUAGUCCCCCUCCGUAAAACAAAUACUGGCUAAUGGUUAGGGGGUUUCCGCCCCCUUACUGCUCUAACUAACGCAUUAAUCCCUCCCGCCCUGGGGCAGUAGGGUCGCAGAGACUGAAAUUCAAAGGAAAUUGAACGGGGGCCCGCCCAAAACCGGUGGAGCAUGAUGUUUAAAUUCAAAAGAAAGCCGAAAAAAGCUUUACCGGGUCUUUGAAUUCCUUUUGAAAAUCCCAAAGAUAUUGGUUCUCCCCUUUCCGGGG
rnacentral:rRNA from 1 species